CCUACGGGGGGCAGCAGUGAGGAAUAUUGGUCAAUGGACGCGAGUCUGAACCAGCCAAGUAGCGUGAAGGAUGACUGCCCUAUGGGUUGUAAACUUCUUUUAUAUGGGAAUAAAACGUUCCACGUGUGGGAUUUUGUAUGUACCAUAUGAAUAAGGAUCGGCUAACUCCGUGCCAGCAGCCGCGGUAAUACGGAGGAUCCGAGCGUUAUCCGGAUUUAUUGGGUUUAAAGGGAGCGUAGGUGGAUUGUUAAGUCAGUUGUGAAAGUUUGCGGCUCAACCGUAAAAUUGCAGUUGAUACUGGCAGUCUUGAGUACAGUAGAGGUGGGCGGAAUUCGUGGUGUAGCGGUGAAAUGCUUAGAUAUCACGAAGAACUCCGAUUGCGAAGGCAGUUCACUGGACUGCAACUGACACUGAGGCUCGAAAGUGUGGGUAUCAAACAGGAUUAGAUACCCUAGUAGUC
rnacentral:rRNA from 1 species